GAUUUAUUGCAUAGUCUUUAAACUGGUUCGCGAUCAAACGAUACGCUAUUACUAGGACGAUAGCGAUAUCAAAUGUAGGUCGUUGUGUGCCACAUGCGUUGGUUAUCCUUGUAACCAAAUGGUAUAGAGAUAUUGGUAUGGCAUGCAGGUGAGAUGUAGGAGUACAUCGUCACUGAACGUGAUCAAUUGUGGAGUACUCUGCGGUCAAAGGUAGCUCGCGAAAGGUAUGGGU
rnacentral:lncRNA from 1 species